GGCAGAGGGAGAAGCAAGCUCCCCGUGGGGAACUCGAUGUGGGACUCGAUUCCAGGACCUGAGCCAAAGGCAGACGCUCAACCACUGAGCCACCCAGGCACCCCAGGGGGCACUGAAUAGUGAUGGAAUCCCUCGCCCUUACAAGUUCAGCCCAAUACCAAAGUCUCGAAGCUCUGCAGAAAGAAGAGAUACUGAAUACUGCCCCUUGCCUUCAGCAGGUCAUACCCAGCGUCACCAUGAGCCAGAACAGUCCUCCUGAGGCCAACACUUUUUGCUCCUUUCCCAUGUACCAAAAAAAUCCCAUUGUCUUCAUCACACAAGUGACAGCCUGGCCUGGGGAUUUAUGAGCAUGAUGUCUCUGUGGCUGGGCUGUGAGCACCUGCACCCUGGGUUCCGGAGAGCCUCGUGCAAGGGCUGAUCUCAUCUUAAACAGCAAAAUACGUCUUGGAAUCACCUCGUCAGAGCAGGUAAAAAUCCUGACCAGGUAGGCAGAGACUGUUUGACAGUCCUGGGGAAUAUGAAUGCAAGAGAAUGAGAAGUGAAGCACACGGUUUGUUCAGCAACACUGAAAAAACAUUUGGAAAUAGCAAAGUGGAAAAAAGGAAGGACUCAGUCGUAAAGAGAUAUGGAUCCAGAGAACAGACUGGUGGUUUCCAGAGAUGAGAGGUUAGGGGAGAGUGGGCAAAAGGGGUUGAAGAGUUUGAAAUUUCCAGUUAUAAACAAGUCCUGGGGAUAUGAUGCACAGCAUGGGGUCUACAGUUCAUAAUACUCUACUGUAUACUGGAAAAUUGCUAAGAGAGUAAAUCUUGAAAGUUCUCAUCAUAAACAAAAAAAAAUUUGUAACUAUGUGUGGUGAUGGAUGUCAGCUAUACUUAUUGUGGUGAUCAUUUUGCAGUGCAUGCAAACACUGAAUCACUAUGUUGUACACCUGACACUUACACGAUGUUUUAUGCUAAUUAUAUCUUCAUUCAAAAAUA